rnacentral:snRNA from 1 species
UGCUUUGUGCAGAGGCGAUAGCGUGACCAAUGGGUCUCUACCGAGGUGCUUUUAUAGGUUAUUGAAAACUUUUCUCACUUAAUCUUCCCAAAAUUUUAGUCAUUCUUCCAGACUUUUCUAGCAUAAUUAAAAUUAAAAUUUCUAAGAAGUUCUUUCGAAA